AUUGAACGCUGGCGGCAGGCCUAACACAUGCAAGUCGAACGAGUGGCGGACGGGUGAGUAAUGUCUGGGAAACUGCCUGAUGGAGGGGGAUAACUACUGGAAAAGGUCGCUAAUACAGCAUACCAUCGGAUGUGCCCAGAUGGGAGUAGCUUGUUGGUGGGGUAACGUCUCACAGAGGGUACGAUCCCUAGCUGGUCUGAGAGGAUGACCAGGCAGACCUGAACUGAGAAACGGUCCCGUCUCCUACGGGAGGCAGCAGUGGGUAAUAUUGCACAAUGGACGCAAGCCUGAUGCGGCAAUGCCGCGUGUAUGAAGCAGGCCCUAGGGGUGUAGAGUACUUUUCGUCGGGAGGCGUUACCGACAGAAGAAGCACCGGCUAACUCCGUGCCAGCAGCCGCGGUAAUAC
rnacentral:rRNA from 1 species